UCUCUUGAAGGAACGUUGAAGACGACGACGUUGAUAGGCAGGGUGUGUAAGCGCAGCGAUGCGUUGAGCUAACCGGUACUAAUGAACCGUGAGGCUUAACCUUACAACGCCGAAG
rnacentral:rRNA from 1 species